UUAAGCGACUAAGCGUACACGGUGGAUGCCCUGGCAGUCAGAGGCGAUGAAGGGCGUGCUAAUCUGCGAUAAGCGCCGGUAAGGUGAUAUGAACCGUUAUAACCGGCGAUACCCGAAUGGGGAAACCCAGUGUGACUCGUCACACUAUCAUUAACUGAAUCCAUAGGUUAAUGAGGCGAACCGGGGGAACUGAAACAUCUAAGUACCCCGAGGAAAAGAAAUCAACCGAGAUUCCCCCAGUAGCGGCGAGCGAACGGGGAGGAGCCCAGAGCCUGAAUCAGCAUGUGUGUUAGUGGAAGCGUCUGGAAAGGCGCGCGAUACAGGGUGACAGCCCCGUACACAAAAGCGCAUGUGCUGUGAGCUCGAUGAGUAGGGCGGGACACGUGGUAUCCUGUCUGAAUAUGGGGGGACCAUCCUCCAAGGCUAAAUACUCCUGACUGACCGAUAGUGAACCAGUACCGUGAGGGAAAGGCGAAAAGAACCCCGGCGAGGGGAGUGAAAAAGAACCUGAAACCGUGUACGUACAAGCAGUGGGAGCACAGGUUUACCUGUGUGACUGCGUACCUUUUGUAUAAUGGGUCAGCGACUUAUAUUCUGUAGCAAGGUUAACCGAAUAGGGGAGCCGGAGGGAAACCGAGUCUUAAUUGGGCGUUAAGUUGCAGGGUAUAGACCCGAAACCCGGUGAUCUAGCCAUGGGCAGGUUGAAGGUUGGGUAACACUAACUGGAGGACCGAACCGACUAAUGUUGAAAAAUUAGCGGAUGACCUGUGGCUGGGGGUGAAAGGCCAAUCAAACCGGGAGAUAGCUGGUUCUCCCCGAAAGCUAUUUAGGUAGCGCCUCGUGAAUUCAUCUCCGGGGGUAGAGCACUGUUUCGGCUAGGGGGCCAUCCCGGCUUACCAACCCGAUGCAAACUGCGAAUACCGGAGAAUGUUAUCACGGGAGACACACGGCGGGUGCUAACGUCCGUCGUGAAGAGGGAAACAACCCAGACCGCCAGCUAAGGUCCCAAAGUCAUGGUUAAGUGGGAAACGAUGUGGGAAGGCCCAGACAGCCAGGAUGUUGGCUUAGAAGCAGCCAUCAUUUAAAGAAAGCGUAAUAGCUCACUGGUCGAGUCGGCCUGCGCGGAAGAUGUAACGGGGCUAAACCAUGCACCGAAGCUGCGGCAGCGACACUGUGUGUUGUUGGGUAGGGGAGCGUUCUGUAAGCCUGUGAAGGUGGCCUGUGAGGGUUGCUGGAGGUAUCAGAAGUGCGAAUGCUGACAUAAGUAACGAUAAAGCGGGUGAAAAGCCCGCUCGCCGGAAGACCAAGGGUUCCUGUCCAACGUUAAUCGGGGCAGGGUGAGUCGACCCCUAAGGCGAGGCCGAAAGGCGUAGUCGAUGGGAAACAGGUUAAUAUUCCUGUACUUGGUGUUACUGCGAAGGGGGGACGGAGAAGGCUAUGUUGGCCGGGCGACGGUUGUCCCGGUUUAAGCGUGUAGGUGUGUGUUCCAGGUAAAUCCGGUUCACUUUAACACUGAGGCGUGAUGACGAGGCACUACGGUGCUGAAGCAACAAAUGCCCUGCUUCCAGGAAAAGCCUCUAAGCAUCAGGUAACAUCAAAUCGUACCCCAAACCGACACAGGUGGUCAGGUAGAGAAUACCAAGGCGCUUGAGAGAACUCGGGUGAAGGAACUAGGCAAAAUGGUGCCGUAACUUCGGGAGAAGGCACGCUGACACGUAGGUGAAGUGAUUUACUCAUGGAGCUGAAGUCAGUCGAAGAUACCAGCUGGCUGCAACUGUUUAUUAAAAACACAGCACUGUGCAAACACGAAAGUGGACGUAUACGGUGUGACGCCUGCCCGGUGCCGGAAGGUUAAUUGAUGGGGUCAGCGCAAGCGAAGCUCCUGAUCGAAGCCCCGGUAAACGGCGGCCGUAACUAUAACGGUCCUAAGGUAGCGAAAUUCCUUGUCGGGUAAGUUCCGACCUGCACGAAUGGCGUAAUGAUGGCCAGGCUGUCUCCACCCGAGACUCAGUGAAAUUGAACUCGCUGUGAAGAUGCAGUGUACCCGCGGCAAGACGGAAAGACCCCGUGAACCUUUACUAUAGCUUGACACUGAACAUUGAGCCUUGAUGUGUAGGAUAGGUGGGAGGCUUUGAAGCGUGGACGCCAGUCUGCGUGGAGCCGACCUUGAAAUACCACCCUUUAAUGUUUGAUGUUCUAACGUGGACCCGUAAUCCGGGUUGCGGACAGUGUCUGGUGGGUAGUUUGACUGGGGCGGUCUCCUCCUAAAGAGUAACGGAGGAGCACGAAGGUUGGCUAAUCCUGGUCGGACAUCAGGAGGUUAGUGCAAUGGCAUAAGCCAGCUUGACUGCGAGCGUGACGGCGCGAGCAGGUGCGAAAGCAGGUCAUAGUGAUCCGGUGGUUCUGAAUGGAAGGGCCAUCGCUCAACGGAUAAAAGGUACUCCGGGGAUAACAGGCUGAUACCGCCCAAGAGUUCAUAUCGACGGCGGUGUUUGGCACCUCGAUGUCGGCUCAUCACAUCCUGGGGCUGAAGUAGGUCCCAAGGGUAUGGCUGUUCGCCAUUUAAAGUGGUACGCGAGCUGGGUUUAGAACGUCGUGAGACAGUUCGGUCCCUAUCUGCCGUGGGCGCUGGAGAACUGAGGGGGGCUGCUCCUAGUACGAGAGGACCGGAGUGGACGCAUCACUGGUGUUCGGGUUGUCAUGCCAAUGGCACUGCCCGGUAGCUAAAUGCGGAAGAGAUAAGUGCUGAAAGCAUCUAAGCACGAAACUUGCCCCGAGAUGAGUUCUCCCUGAGACUUAGAGUCUCCUGAAGGAACGUUGAAGACGACGACGUUGAUAGGCCGGGUGUGUAAGCGCAGCGAUGCGUUGAGCUAACCGGUACUAAUGAACCGUGAGGCUUAACCUU
rnacentral:rRNA from 1 species